rnacentral:rRNA from 1 species
CCUACGGGCGGCUGCAGUGGGGAAUAUUGCACAAUGGGCGCAAGCCUGAUGCAGCCAUGCCGCGUGUGUGAAGAAGGCCUUCGGGUUGUAAAGCACUUUCAGCGGGGAGGAAGGCGGUGAGGUUAAUAACCUCAUCGAUUGAUGUUACCCGCAGAAGAAGCACCGGCUAACUCCGUGCCAGCAGCCGCGGUAAUACGGAGGGUGCAAGCGUUAAUCGGAAUUACUGGGCAUAAAGCGCACGCAGGCGGUCUGUCAAGUCGGAUGUGAAAUCCCCGGGCUCAACCUGGGAACUGCAUUCGAAACUGGCAGGCUAGAGUCUUGUAGAGGGGGGUAGAAUUCCAGGUGUAGCGGUGAAAUGCGUAGAGAUCUGGAGGAAUACCGGUGGCGAAGGCGGCCCCCUGGACAAAGACUGACGCUCAGGUGCGAAAGCGUGGGGAGCAAACAGGAUUAGAUACCCUUGUAGUC